GACGAACGCUGGCGGCGUGCCUAAUACAUGCAAGUCGAGCGAGUCUGCCUUGAAGAUCGGAGUGCUUGCACUCUGUGAAACAAGAUACAGGCUAGCGGCGGACGGGUGAGUAACACGGGGGUAACCUGCCCAAGAGAUCGGGAUAACACCUGGAAACAGAUGCUAAUACCGGAUAACAACAGAUGAUGCCUAUCAAAUGUUUAAAAGAUGGUUCUGCUAUCACUCUUGGAUGGACCUGCGGUGCAUUAGCUAGUUGGUAGGGUAACGGCCUACCAAGGCGAUGAUGCCUAGCCGAGUUGAGGGACUGAUCGGCCACAUUGGGACUGAGACACGGCCCAAACUCCUACGGGAGGCAGCAGUAGGGAAUCUUCCACAAUGGACGCAAUUCUGAUGGAGCAACGCCGCGUGAGUGAAGAAGGGUUUCGGCUCGUAAAGCUCUGUUGUUGGUGAAGAAGGACAGGGGUAGUAACUGACCUUUGUUUGACGGUAAUCAAUUAGAAAGUCACGGCUAACUAAGUG
rnacentral:rRNA from 1 species